UGCAGCAAGAGGGGCGAAUUAUUGUUGGCUGUUGUGAAAAGACGAAGAUGCCCUUGAGUUGUGGGCGGGCCUCACAUUUUGUGGACGAGGGUUUUCAUUGUCUUUUUAACCCUGGGAAAAAAUGACGGCACUAUUUUGAUCCACAAACGAUCGACUGUUACCGGUUCUCCAUUCUCUUCUUUUCCUUCUUCGUUGGUUUUCUGCUCCUCCAUUCUCUCCAAAUUUUUGAUCAGUUAUCUCAAGCUCUGUUGCCGGCAAUUUUUUUUUAUUUUUUUACGGAAAUCAAGUUGUUAGGGCGUGGAUGGCUUCUCCAACUUCUAGAAGCUUCCAGAAAGAGCUUAUGAAGUUACUUCUAUGUAUGCUUAGAUCUGUUGAAAGAUCAUGAUAUUAGAAUUUCGUAGGUUGCUCUGCCUCGGUGGCUGUACCUUCUUGUGAGCAAUUGAAGCUUCAUUUCAAUGCCUUUGUUCAGAGACGUGGAGAUGCUAAAUAGCCGGUUCAGGAUGCUGCCCGCAGCCUUUCCUCACUUUAAUGGAGGUAUUGGAGAUGCUAACUGAAUGUUGUUGAAUUCAUUUCUUGUUUUAUAAAUUUAGUGAUUUCUGUUGCAAUUUGCUUGCCACUUUUGUUCACUUGUCAAUCUUGAGUUUUUGCUUGGGGUAGAGGUUCUAUGUGACUGGAGCUCCUUUAGUUUUCUGUGCUUGGUUUAGAAAUUUAGGUACAAAGGAUCCAUCGUGUUCUUGUUUGAUUUAAUCAAGUAGAAUGUUCAGGAUGAAUGCUGGUGCAAUGAAUUGAAACAAUUAGCUUAACACGAUUCUUUGAAUUACUUGGGUAGCAUAUUCAGGAGGGUUUUGAAUUUCUAAUUUUGGAAAUCAAGUCAAUUAAUUUUGUGGUCUGUAGUUUCUUCAUGGUCAUUUAUCAUUGUUCAUGUUAUUGUUGAUUGUUUUCUUAAUAUGACUAUCAGAACUUUCUGUGGAUCUUCUUUGUGCUAAUUUAGGAAGUUUUGGCUGUAUGUAAAGUACUUGAAAUUGAAUAGUCAAUUGUAUUUGCUUGAUUAUGGUUGAAUCAUUGCUGGAAAGUUGGGUGGAAUGUCUCUGAGAGUUAAAAGAGAAAGCAUGUUGAAGGAUUAGUUGUUCCUUUUGUAGUUUGAACAGUUGGUGUUCUGUUCACUUUUUGGAUAUUGUUUUCCUUUUGUUUUUCUUUUAAUUACAAAUUACAGUCUUAUGGAAAGAUAGUGUAUGUGAAUGUCAUGCGGUUUGUGCUUGCCACUUGCGUGCAAUGUGGCCUGGCUGGAUGCAUUCCAGUGGUUGGUUGAGAAUGGCGAAAAGCAACUUCAAAGGAAGAUCUUUUGUUUGGCUUUAGUCAUGGCAGAAGUACAAUAAUUAUCAAGUGGGUAACUGGAUUAGCGUGUAUCAUCUUGCUGUAGUGCAAUCUAUUAUCUGUGAAGUGCAGAAAUACAAUAAUCUGGGCUGUCUCAUACUCGUUCACCAAUACUCCCCUUGUAUAUACACGUAUAAAUAUACAGCAGUAUAUAAAUAAAUAAAAAAAAAUGCUUCUAUUGUAUGCAAUCUACAGCGAAUUUUUGUGUUAUUAAUUGAUUCAUCUUGAAGAGAAACACAAGCUAAAAUUUGUUGUAUCCAAUCUGCAGCAAUGUUUUAUCUAAAAAAAAAAAAAA